UGGCGGACGGGUGAGUAAUGUCUGGGAAACUGCCUGAUGAGGGGGAUAACUACUGGAAACGGUAGCUAAUACCGCAUAACGUCGCAAGACCAAAGAGGGGGACCUUCGGGCCUCUUGCCAUCGGAUGUGUCCAGAUGGGAUUAGCUAGUAGGUGGGGUAACGGCUCACCUAGGCGACGAUCCCUAGCUGGUCUGAGAGGAUGACCAGCCACACUGGAACUGAGACACGGUCCAG
rnacentral:rRNA from 1 species